rnacentral:rRNA from 1 species
UAACGCGUGAGGAACCUGCCUCAAAGAGGGGGACAACAGUUGGAAACGACUGCUAAUACCGCAUAAGCCCACGGGUCGGCAUCGACCAGAGGGAAAAGGAGCAAUCCGCUUUGAGAUGGCCUCGCGUCCGAUUAGCUAGUUGGUGAGGUAAUGGCCCACCAAGGCGACGAUCGGUAGCCGGACUGAGAGGUUGAACGGCCACAUUGGGACUGAGACACGGCCCAGACUCCUACGGGAGGCAGCAGUGGGGAAUAUUGCACAAUGGGGGAAACCCUGAUGCAGCGACGCCGCGUGGAGGAAGAAGGUCUUCGGAUUGUAAACUCCUGUUGUUGAGGAAGAUAAUGACGGUACUCAACAAGGAAGUGACGGCUAACUACGUGCCAGCAGCCGCGGUAAAACGUAGGUCACAAGCGUUGUCCGGAAUUACUGGGUGUAAAGGGAGCGCAGGCGGGAAGACAAGUUGGAAGUGAAAUCUAUGGGCUCAACCCAUAAACUGCUUUCAAAACUGUUUUUCUUGAGUAGUGCAGAGGUAGGCGGAAUUCCCGGUGUAGCGGUGGAAUGCGUAGAUAUCGGGAGGAACACCAGUGGCGAAGGCGGCCUACUGGGCACCAACUGACGCUGAGGCUCGAAAGUGUGGGUAGCAAACAGGAUUAGAUACCCUGGUAGUCCACACCGUAAACGGUGAUUACUAGGUGU